rfam:Anaerosphaera aminiphila DSM 21120 genome assembly, contig: EJ13DRAFT_scaffold00001.1
AAUUAACUGUAACCGCACAGAGUAUGGUCUAAAAAUAUUACCUACAAUGGCGAGUCUUAUAUUUAAG